GAUGACCGCUGGCGUGCCUCCUACAUAGCUGCUCGUGCCAGCGGACCGACAAGCUAUGCUUCUCUCACUGAUGCGGCCGACGGACGAGUGACACACGCAUGACCUACCUACCAUACUGACAGAGCAUUCCUUCAACCGGACCCUAUCCCAUACGAUAUUAUGAACCGCACGGCUCGGAAGUGAAAGACAGUCUUGCCGUCCCUUCUCUAUAGGAUCCGCUCUCGCUCUGCUAUUUCGAAAUGUAACGGCUUCACCCUUGCCACGAUGCCUAUCCGACCUGAAACGGUGAUCGGGCACACUGGCACUGAGACACGAUCCACACUCCUACCGCAGGCAGCAGUAAGCAAUCUUCCACUCUGGGCGAAAGCCUGACAGACCAACGCCGCGUGAGUGAUGAAGGUCUUCGGAUCGUUCAACUCUGUUAUUACGGAAGAACAUAUGUGUACAUUAACUGUGCACAUCUUGACUGUUCCUAAUCAGACAGCCACGGCUAACUCCGUGCCAACAGCCGCGGUAAUACCUACGUGGCAAGCGUUAUCCGGAAUUAUUGGGCGUAAAAGCGCGCGUAGGCGGUUUUUUAGUCUGAUGUGAAAGCCCACGGCUCAACCGUGGAGGGUCAUUGGAAACUGGAAAACUUGAGUGCAGAAGAGGAAAGUGGAAUUCCAUGUGUAGCGGUGAAAUGCGCAGAGAUAUGGAGGAACACCAGUGGCGAAGGCGACUUUCUGGUCUGUAACUGACGCUGAUGUGCGAAAGCGUGGGGAUCAAACAGGAUUAGAUACCCUGGUAGUCCACGCCGUAAACGAUGAGUGCUAAGUGUUAGGGGGUUUCCGCCCCUUAGUGCUGCAGCUAACGCAUUAAGCACUCCGCCUGGGGAGUACGACCGCAAGGUUGAAACUCAAAGGAAUUGACGGGGACCCGCACAAGCGGUGGAGCAUGUGGUUUAAUUCGAAGCAACGCGAAGAACCUUACCAAAUCUUGACAUCCUUUGACAACUCUAGAGAUAGAGCCUUCCCCUUCGGGGGACAAAGUGACAGGUGGUGCAUGGUUGUCGUCAGCUCGUGUCGUGAGAUGUUGGGUUAAGUCCCGCAACGAGCGCAACCCUUAAGCUUAGUUGCCAUCAUUAAGUUGGGCACUCUAAGUUGACUGCCGGUGACAAACCGGAGGAAGGUGGGGAUGACGUCAAAUCAUCAUGCCCCUUAUGAUUUGGGCUACACACGUGCUACAAUGGACAAUACAAAGGGCAGCGAAACCGCGGGGUCAAGCAAAUCCCAUAAAGUUGUUCUCAGUUCGGAUUGUAGUCUGCAACUCGACUACAUGAAGCUGGAAUCGCUAGUAAUCGUAGAUCAGCAUGCUACGGUGAAUACGUUCCCGGGUCU
rnacentral:rRNA from 1 species